ensembl:lncRNA
AUUGAAAUGGCAAAAGAAUAAAAAUCACAAAAUGCAGACCUGAGAGAGAAGGUCUGGGGAGAGAUGAGAGAUACCCGUUUGCAAAAGCCUUGGUACAGAACGUGUUCACAUAGCCACCAGGACUUUGCCCAGCGCCUGCAUUUCCCUACCCAGGAGGCCCACAGGCAGUUCUCCUGGGGAGCCUUCCACAGCAACCUUUCUGUGACGUCACACGCCAGUGCUGUCUUAGCUACACGAGCGGAAUGCACAGUCCCCGACCGUGUUAGUUCUGGAGUGGCUUAUGGGAUGUGGACCCCUCCUUGUCCGCCCCUCCUUAACCAUACCAGGUCCAUUUCUAAUGGCAUUGCUUUUCCCCUACAUUAUUUUCAAUAGGAUAUUUUGGUUCUUCUGUGGAAUACUAUGGUAAAAAUGAAAAGAAAAUUUUUCUUAUUCCAGUAAGGACAAAUCGGGACAAGUCAGGAGCCUCAGAAAAUCUCAAUAGGAGAGAAACUCCAGUUUUCAAUUCCUGGAUGCCUAUCAGAGAUUUCAGCUCUUGCCUCACAUAGUUACAAGGAGGAAUGCUUUGUGGGGACACCAAUCUGAGCUAAGGCCUCUUGGAAGCACAUGGCCCGAUGGAGGAGGGACUGCGAGCUGCGGCUGGGAAUUGCUGACAUGAAUUACUGCUGCGUAUUCCAAAAGUCCGCUGAACCAAGGGGGAGCCAGGCGCUGGAGAGAGGGUCUGUCGUCUUCCUCACAACGUUUCUAGAUCUACAGAUGGCGAUGAGGAAGUGGUGCGCUUAUUUUUCAUAUUUUCUGAUAAGGUGCCAACAGAACUGACUUGCCAUUUUAAUGUAUGUCAUCUUUCCUGCAGUCACUGAGUGGCCUCGGACGGCUGUGGUUGAUCACUGGGGGCGAGCUGGACCCUCGCCCUUGAACAAAGUGCAGGGCCAGCGUCCUGGAGCCCGCCUUCCUUACAUUAACCACCCUUGGGAGGGCUGACCCCAGGGCAGUGGAGGGUUCUGCAGCACCCUUCUGAGGUGGGGAGGCACUGGCACCCAGCCAGCUUCCAAGGUGGACCCCUGCUGGAGGGAUGGAGAACAGGAAAGAAGAGGCUUGGAACAGACAGAAUUCUCACCCCGAGGCACACAGGCGAACCUGGCUUGCAUCCGUAGAACUCCCUGCCAAUCAGAGCUUGACUCCCCUCUCUUCUCCACCAAUCAAAGCUUGCACCACGGCAUCCUCCCCAACUCCCCAGCCAAUCAGAGCCUGACUCCCCGCUCCUCCCCACCAGUUAAGGCCUUGCACACUGCAAGCUCCCCUACCAAUCAGAGCCAGGCUCCCCUCUCCUCUCCACCAGUCAGGGCUUGUGCUACCUCAAACUCAAUUCCUCUGCCAAUCGGAGCCCAGCUACCCACAGCUGCAGAUAAAGAAAGAAUGGCCUUGUCAUCGAAGCCUGCAUGCAUUCACUGCGUCCUCCAGCUUGGUGAUUAAUGGAGCGCCCUCCACACAGCUGACCACUUCAUUGGUCAAUAAGGGUCCGAAACAUCACAGGAAUAAACUGAAAACAUGCGGCUUUAACUCAGAUGUUCGUGGGACUCCUGACAUUGCAGGUUAUAGGCUGCAUGAAUUGCCUCAGCUUCUGACAGCUGCAUCUCAAGACGACACCCCUACCCAGAGCAGCCCACAUCCAAUGAUGGAUCAAGCCAGGGUAUGGAGACUUGGCCAUCUCAGCCCAAAUUAGGACCACUCUGGAAAGGCUUCUGGCUCCAGAGAUCCCUAUGGGUUGGCCAAAGCUGUACGUGAGCUGUGCCACAGCUCCACUUCUCCCUCUGCCCACGCUUGCUUUGGGCGCCUCUCUUCCACAAGUGUUGGUCUCAAGGACACUGCUGUAUAAACAUCCUGCACGCUAAAUGCCACUUCAGAGCCCACUUUCCAGGGAACCGAGCCUGCAGAGAAAUGGUGCCAG